GCUUCAGAGCUGUACAUAAAUACGUGGAUUUCUGGCCUCUGCUGAAAAUCUGAAAGAUCAGCAAUGGAGUUUACAUUCUGCAAGAACAAGCACUGGUCCUGAGUGGCAGGAGCCCUAGACAGGUGUGGGUUUUCUGAUCAACCACAGUCCCCAUCCAACCCACUUCACUCGUUACCUCCCUGGCCGUGGUGGGCACUUGAGUUGGUGAUCAGGACACUGAAGGAGGAGACGGCCUUUGCUAAGACAUGAUGGAUGGGAAAUGGCACCUUCUGCCUAGAGUCCGGCAGGAACAGAUUUCCAUGGCACAGAAUUCAGUGUCUCAUGACUCUCCACAUAAAUCCCUAAAUGACAACACGUCCCGCAUCCCACGCUUCCCGCCUCCCACCAGAGCAGUCGAUCAAGAGUCUACAGCAUGGUGUCCUGUUUUGUAGGAGGUAGGUAAAAAUAUGGCCAUCCUUCACACAGCUGUAACGAGGCUAUUUUUAAAGGAGUUUAAAGCAUGGGGCAAAUCUCAGGUCCCGGGUCAAAGGGUUUUUUAUACAAUCACUAAAAAUUAUUCCAAAGCUUCUGUAGUUCAAGCCACAUUUUAUUCUUGUUAUCACACUAGAAUCAUAGGUUCCUGAAACACAGGACCUUGAAAAACGUCUUUUAAUUAUGUGUUGACAGUAGCACCAUCCACUCCCUCCUUCUCCAGGACUCUUUCUUCCUCCCCCUGACACAAAUAUUCAUCCUGGGAGAUGAUGUUGUGUUAUAACACAUGGCCACAAACUUUAAAUCUCAGCUAAACACUCCAUAGUGCCAAAACAACUAGCAAUUGCUGAAACAAUUAACUUUCUCCCCGAAUGGGUGAAAAAAUUAGAGUGGCCAUCAACUAGGGAUUUCAUUCAGUAUUUCCUUGUCAUUCGCAGAUUUUUGGCUGAAUUGAUAUCAAAUUCUACUGUAUGUGUCAGCCUUGCCUGCUUUCCUUCCAUCUGAAACCUUGUCGUUUCACAUUUUCAUUCAUUUAAUUCCUAUUGCUCUAUGAAUCAAAGUCCCUGCAGGACACUUAGAGAACGUUCCAAAGAUUGGACUGAAGUGAGUUAAAAGAAGGAUUAUUUACAGAGAAUACAUCUGUGGCCAGUCAGGGAAAGAGCAAGAGGAAUCGGCACUCUGACUUUUCUUUCAUUCUGUCUUCUGAUAUCCCACCAAUACCUGUCAUUGGUCAGACUCAAGCAAAUGACAGAGGCCAACACAGGCCAACGUCAUCAGCUGCCUAGGGCACAGAACAGAGUAUGUGCAAUGGUCUACAGGGCGCAGAGUGGAAGCCAUUCACCAGCUCAACAACAUUGACUUUCCCUCCCUAAGACUGACCAGGCUACCACCCAGUGGGCAGAGUGCCCACCCAGCCAACAGAGACCAAGCCAAGCCCCUGACAUGGCAACAUUCCAGAGGGGGACCAGCCAGCCUGCAGGUAGACACAGCACAUUGGAUGCCUCUUUCAUGGAGUGGGUAGAGUUCUGUUCCACACUACACGCAAAAAUGAAUUCUAAAUGGAUUAAACAGCAGGAAAAUGCAACAUAGGUAGUAAAAUAAACAGAAUUUGU